rnacentral:rRNA from 1 species
GCGUGAGUGAAGAAGGCCUUAGGGUUGUAAAACUCUUUCAGAUGGGAAGAUAAUGACGGUACCAUCAAAAGAAGCCCCGGCUAACUCCGUGCCAGCAGCCGCGGUAAUACGGAGGGGGCUAGCGUUGUUCGGAAUUACUGGGCGUAAAGCGCGCGUAGGCGGAUAUUUAAGUUGGGGGUGAAAUCCCGAGGCUCAACCUCGGAACUGCCCUCAAAACUAUUUAUCUAGAGACCGGGAGAGGUGAGUGGAAUUCCUAGUGUAGAGGUGAAAUUCGU